AUACGGAAGGUGCAAGCGUUAAUCGGAAUCACUGGGCGUAAAGCGCUCGUAGGUGGCUUUGUAAGUCAGGUGUGAAAGCCCACGGCUCAACCGUGGAAUUGCACUUGAUACUGCAUUGCUUGAGUUCGGGAGAGGGUAGUGGAAUUCCAGGUGUAGGAGUGAAAUCCGUAGAGAUCUGGAGGAACACCAGUGGCGAAGGCGACUACCUGGACAGGUACUGACGCUGAGGCGACG
rnacentral:rRNA from 1 species